rnacentral:rRNA from 1 species
UACAGAGGGUGCAAGCGUUAAUCGGAAUUACUGGGCGUAAAGCGCGCGUUGGUGGUUUGUUAAGUUGAAUGUGAAAUCCCCGGGCUCAACCUGGGAACUGCAUCCAAAACUGGCAAGCUAGAGUAGGGCAGAGGGUGGUGGAAUUUCCUGUGUAGCGGUGAAAUGCGUAGAUAUAGGAAGGAACACCAGUGGCGAAGGCGACCACCUGGGCUCAUACUGACACUGAAGCACGAAAGCGUGGGGAGCAAACAGG